CACGUAGGGUGCGAGCGUUGUCCGGAAUUAUUGGGCGUAAAGAGCUCGUAGGUGGUUUGUCGCGUUGUUCGUGAAAACUCACAGCUCAACUGUGGGCGUGCGGGCGAUACGGGCAGACUGGAGUACUGCAGGGGAGACUGGAAUUCCUGGUGUAGCGGUGGAAUGCGCAGAUAUCAGGAGGAACACCGGUGGCGAAGGCGGGUCUCUGGGGCAGUAACUGACGC
rnacentral:rRNA from 1 species